rnacentral:rRNA from 1 species
AUGUCUGAGGAAAUUAAGACGAAGUUUGAGAAGUAUUGGAAAGAAGUCCGUGGUCUUAUGUUUGUGGCAAUAGUCCUUGAUCCAAGAUAUAAGCUUCAUAUGUUGCAAGCUUUGUUUGGCUCUCUCUAUGGGUUUGAACAUGCAACUAUAGAAGUGGAGAAAAUUAGAAAGUUAAUGGGUGAUUUGUUGCUAGAAUAUCAAGCAUCUGAUGGUGGUGUGGGUACCUCAGAGUCACGAGUAGGUAGGAGUGUUUCUACCCAAGAUGAAAUGGGGAAUAUAUUUAAACAAUAUAUGUCCUCGAAGCCUGUUAUGAGUGCUUCUCGUGUGCGGACAGAACUGGACUUAUAUUUGGAAGAGGAAAUUACCCAUAGGCCAGAGGGUCUCGACAUCAUCAAUUGGUGGCAGUUUGGAGGUAUCAAGUAUCCUACAUUGCGAAGAAUGGCUCAUGAUAUACUAGCCAUUCCUGUAACAACCAUGGCGUCGGAAUCUGCCUUCGGUACUAGUGGGAGAAUACUAAGUGCAUGUAGAUGUUCACUUGCACCAAACAUGACCGAAGCUCUUAUGUGUAUGCAAGCUUGGUCCCGUGCAAACAUGUUAGGCGAUAAUCUAGUUGAAUCAUGACUCGUCUUUCCAUACACUAUUAUUUCCUUGCUAUAUGUUAAUAUCUAA